UUGUUCUCUUUUUUUCUUUUUUUAAUAGCAUCCCGCUCUUAUUUCAGAAUAAAAAAAUUUUUAAGGUAUGUUGAGUAAGAAUCUAUAGAGCAAUGAAAAUGCAAGAGCAAUAGCUAUGGGCACCAAAUGGUCAAUCUUCUUAUCAUAAUGUUGAGUGGAAGAAGCCAGGUCCACCAGACACAUGCUGCUCAUUUAUGCAAAGUUUGGACACAG
rnacentral:lncRNA from 10 species